ACAGGAAGCGGAAACGGAAACGAGCCUUAGCUUGUCUUGACGUCUUGUUUGCUAAUGUUGUUUUGCCCGAUUCGAACACGUGAGCUGAGUUAGUUUAACGACGUUAGCGCCAAGUAAGGCGUUUUUUUUUGUAUUGUUUACAUGCGCACUAGACGACCACAAAGAAGGAAUGUUGUCUCAACGUCGGUUGCUGUCAGUCUACGCGAAAAAGUGGCGACUUGUGCCAAGGCUGGAGGAGGGAUGAACACUGCUGCCGCAGACUCAAGUGUUCAGCACAUGGGUGGAUCUGCACUACAAUGAUGGAAACCUGCUUUUGGAAAG